UAGGGANUCUUCGGCAAUGGGGGCAACCCUGACCGAGCAACGCCGCGUGAGUGAAGAAGGUUUUCGGAUCGUAAAGCUCUGUUGUAAGUCAAGAACGAGUGUGAGAGUGGAAAGUUCACACUGUGACGGUAGCUUACCAGAAAGGGACGGCUAACUACGUGCCAGCAGCCGCGGUAAUACGUAGGUCCCGAGCGUUGUCCGGAUUUAUUGGGCGUAAAGCGAGCGCAGGCGGUUUGAUAAGUCUGAAGUUAAAGGCUGUGGCUCAACCAUAGUUCGCUUUGGAAACUGUCAAACUUGAGUGCAGAAGGGGAGAGUGGAAUUCCAUGUGUAGCGGUGAAAUGCGUAGAUAUACGGAGGAACACCGGUGGCGAAAGCGGCUCUCUGGUCUGUAACUGACGCUGAGGCUCGAAAGCGUGGGGAGCGAACAGGAUUAGAUACCCUGGUAGUCCACGCCGUNNNGAUGAGUGCUAGGUGUUGGAUCCCUUCCGGGAUUCAGUGNCGCAGCUAANNCAUUAANCACUCCGCCUGGGGAGUACNANCNCAAGGUU
rnacentral:rRNA from 1 species